rnacentral:rRNA from 1 species
GAUGAACGCUAGCUACAGGCUUAACACAUGCAAGUCGAGGGGAAACGGCAUUGAGUGCUUGCACUCUUUGGACGUCGACCGGCGCACGGGUGAGUAACGCGUAUCCAACCUUCCCAUUACUGUGGGAUAACCUGCCGAAAGGCAGACUAAUACCGCAUAGUCUUCGAUGACGGCAUCAGAUUUGAAGUAAAGAUUUAUCGGUAAUGGAUGGGGAUGCGUCUGAUUAGCUUGUUGGCGGGGUAACGGCCCACCAAGGCGACGAUCAGUAGGGGUUCUGAGAGGAAGGUCCCCCACAUUGGAACUGAGACACGGGCCAAACUCCUACGGGAGGCAGCAGUGAGGAAUAUUGGUCAAUGGACGGAAGUCUGAACCAGCCAAGUAGCGUGCAGGAUGACGGCCCUAUGGGUUGUAAACUGCUUUUGUAUGGGGAUAAAGUUAGGGACGGGUCCCUAUUUGCAGGUACCAUACGAAUAAGGACCGGCUAAUUCCGUG